UAAACAAUGCCAGACGCCUGAGUUAUCACCUGUGGGUCAACCUGCCUGUAAGACUGGGAUAACUCCCGGGAAACCGGGGCUAAUACCGGAUAAUUCCUUUCCUCUCAUGAUGGAAUGCUGAAAGAUGGUUUCUGCUAUCACUUUAAGAUGGGCCCGCGGCGCAUUAACUAGUUGGUGAGGUAACGGCUCACCAAGGCCACGAUGCGUAACCGACCUGAAAGGGUGAUCGGCCACACUGGGACUGAAACACGGCCCAAACUCCUACGGGAGGCAGCAGUAGGGAAUCUUCCGCAAUGGACGAAAGUCUGACGGAACAACGCCCCGUGAGUGAAGAAGGUUUUCGGAUCGUAAAACUCUGUUGUUAGGGAAAAACAAGUACCGGAGUAACUGGCCGGACCUUUGCGGUACCUUAACAAAAAGCCCCGGGUAAAUACCUGCCCACCGCCGCGGUAA
rnacentral:rRNA from 1 species